rnacentral:rRNA from 1 species
CAACAGGGCAUUGCCUCAGUAACGGCGAGUGAAGCGGCAAAAGCUCAAAUUUGAAAUCUGGCACCUUUGGUGUCCGAGUUGUAAUUUGAAGAAGGUAACUUUGGAGUUGGCUCUUGUCUAUGUUCCUUGGAACAGGACGUCACAGAGGGUGAGAAUCCCGUGCGAUGAGAUGCCCAAUUCUAUGUAAAGUGCUUUCGAAGAGUCGAGUUGUUUGGGAAUGCAGCUCUAAGUGGGUGGUAAAUUCCAUCUAAAGCUAAAUAUUGGCGAGAGACCGAUAGCGAACAAGUACAGUGAUGGAAAGAUGAAAAGAACUUUGAAAAGAGAGUGAAAAAGUACGUGAAAUUGUUGAAAGGGAAGGGCUUGAGAUCAGACUUGGUAUUUUGCAAGCUUUACCUUCGUGGUGGAGUCCCCUGCAGUU